UUCCCCUGAAGGAUGGGCUCACGUGAGAAGGCUCAAGGUGGUGGGGGUACAGGAAAGGCCUGUGGCUACAUUUCAAGUUUCCUCUUUGUCCGUCCAGCUUCCUCUGCCUGAGUGUGGCACUCUGUCUUGGACCGCGAAGACAAGGCCGCUCCCAGGAAGGCAGUGCAGCGCACAGAGACCCAUUUAAAGGAUGCAUCUCAGUGCCUCCCCCUCGGGACAGAGCGGACAGACCAGGGGUGAUGGUUACCUGGCUUCCCAGAGAACCAUCUGGCAGCCAUGAUGACACGGGCGUACGGCUUUGGUUUCGCUGAUGCCUGUGUAGAUGAACCUUGGUGACUCAGAGGGCCUGAAUGUCGCUGCUUUCAAGGAGAGGCCCAGGAUGGCGGCUCCCAUCGUCCAGGCAGAGGGGGAAUGUGGGGUGCCGGAGUGCCUUGAAGUAUCUCCACUGCCUAGAACCUCCUACAUGGCUGCAAAGGGGGGCGAAGGUACCUUCUUUGUUUUGCGUGGCCACGUGCCCAGAUGAACCACGGGGCAAAACAGACAGGCUGUGUCAGGCAACCCAUAGUCUUUGUCAUGGCUGUGACUUGGGGUAGCAAUGGGGGGUAGGCCGUGUGUUCUCCCCACCCCCUCUGUAUCUGUUGCUCUCCUUGUCCCUGUUAUCAAUAUCUCUGACAGGAAACCUGAAGGACGGAAAGUUUUACGUUGCUCCUGGCCUCAGAAGGCUCAGUUCCUGGUCUCUUGGUCCCAAGAUGGACUUGAACAGAGCAUCAUGGGAGCAUGUGGCUGACCAAGAAGUGGAGAGGAACAGAGGGAGAAAACAAACCUCCCGACUCCCCACAUCCAGCGACCUACUUCUCCCAGCUGAGCCCCACCCCCUAAGUUUCCAGACCCUCCCCAGGUGCGGAACAAGCUGUGGAGCAGGUGUUCAAACCCCAAACCUGGGAGGUCAUCAAAUACUCACACCAUAACACCCUUCUUCGGUGGUCUGGGAGGAUGGUCAGAACUCUGUUAUGGCACCUGAGGGGUGAGGUUGGUCCACUGCAGCAUCUGUGGAUGACGCAUGAGGCAGGAAGGCAAAGUGACUGGUCAUGGAGACUGAGUAAGGCUGUCCUCCAUGCCAACAUGAGAACAUGGGCACAGGCUGCCCCCCACAGUGGAAAAAUAGUGCAGAACUGAGCAAACAAAGAAAGCCAAGCCACCGGAAGGCCAAGGACCAUUCAUCAAGAGGCCAAGGUGCCUUUAUCCAGCUGAACUGUGGGACCAUCAUGGCUGCCCUUGGGCUGCACUGGUUAGGCUUCGAUUGAAGGUUGCAUUUACCGUAGGGUGGGCAUUUAAAGUUUCCUCUAGGCACCAUGAGUCUCACAGGGGCAUGUUGAAGGCAUGUGCUAGAGAGCUGCUUCAAACCUGCCUGAAGGGGAGUCUAGUUUGUCUCAUUCCAGAACAGCCAGCUGGGUAUUCCCUAGGGCGCUCAUUCUGGGACCUGAGAGCAUGGACAGGAGACUUGGCCUGAGCAGGGCCAGCCAGGAGGACAGAGCAGGCUCCUCCAGGCUCUUCCUUCCCCUGCUGACUCUGCUGACUCAUCCCCAGCUCCAAAGACACUGCUUGGGAAAGGCAUCUCAACCCCUUGAAAACGAGAAGCUUGUUUAUUUGCUUGUUUAAGUUGAUCUGAUAUAGGGGCCCAGACUCGUCCUCUUAAAACUGUGGCUGCUGCCAAAUGUCCCGAUUUGCAUGGGUGUUCACCUGCGUGGGUGGCUGGAAUCCCAGGGGAGGGUCUCCGGACCCUCCUCACCCACCGUUGAGGAACCGGUUAACCAUCCACCCGAGGUGCUGGUCUUUAGAAGCACACACAGACGGCUUGCUGACGGUGAGGGCCGUUUGUCUGUGAGGACUGAGUUUAUAGCACCACACCCUGAGGGCACAGUCCUCCCUUCACCCUUCAUCUGUGCCACAGUUCAGCCCUGAUCUUCGAUCUGCCUACUGUGUCUUGUACAUCUCUCUUGCCAGGCUCUGGAGAGCGAAGCCAUGGAGUUCCAGUCUUCGGCUGGUGUAGCAACCCACACACCAAGCUUUGAGAAACUGAAUGAUAAAACACUAUUUCCACACCCCCACGACUUCAGCAAGUGGCCAGUGUCUUUUGCAUAUUAGUUACUUCUGUGUCACCAUGACCAAAACAGUAGGCAGGAAAGCCUCAGGGAGGAGGGAGGCUUGAUUUAGCUCUCAGUUCCCGAGACUCCUGCUCCCACAGCGGGCAUUUGGGCAGCAUUCUUGCUGACAGGGCCUGCAGCUGAAGCUCCUCACAUUUCUGUGGGCUGCGAGGACAUGCCAGACCAGGCACAGGGCUGGAGUCUUGAGAGGUCCACUCCUAGUGACUGCUCCUGUCAGUUGGGCACCUUCUAAAGGCGCAGACACCCAGUCUGUGGGGUUGGGUAGGGUGUCGGAGCUGGGUGAAGAGUAGGCUUCAUGUUUGUCAGAAUUGGCGUGUUCACUGGAGCGCAUGUGGUGGUGCCCAGAGAUGCUAAGACCUUCCUUCACGGUGGAAAUGCAAGGAAACCUGGACAGGGAAUAAAUAGGAGGAACCUGGAGCAGAGCGCACUCCAGCCGCAGCAUGGAGAUGGUGCCGCCAGCACCGGAGAGGAAGGGUCUCCCCACAGUGUGUCCCCAGCCUGUGUGCUGGCUGCUGUCCUGAUGUCCUUGCUGAGGUCCACUGACAGCUAGACACCACUGCUUGGGCCUAGUGUUUGGUUCUAACUCUGCUAGACCCAAGCUCCUGUCGAUGUACUGUUUGCUGCACAACCACCUCCUCUGGCCUAUCUGGGGCCCGCCUGUCUCUUUCUUUCCUUCCUUCCUUCCUUCCUUCCUUCCUUCCUUCCUUCCUUCCUUCUUCCUUCCUUCCUUUCCUUCCUUCCUUCCUUUCUUCCUUCCUUCCUUCUCCUCCUCUUUGCCCUCCUCCUUUUCUUCCUCCCCCUUCUUUGUCUUUUUGAGAAAGGGUUUCUCUGUGUAGCCCUGGCUGUACUGGAACUCACUCUGUACACCAGGCUGACCUCAACCUCAGAGAUCUGCCUGCCUCUGCUCCUGAGUGCUGGGAUUAAAGGUGUGCGCCACCA